GACGAACGCUGGCGGCGUGCCUAAUACAUGCAAGUCGAACGAACUCUGGUAUUGAUUGGUGCUUGCAUCAUGAUUUACAUUUGAGUGAGUGGCGAACUGGUGAGUAACACGUGGGAAACCUGCCCAGAAGCGGGGGAUAACACCUGGAAACAGAUGCUAAUACCGCAUAACAACUUGGACCGCAUGGUCCGAGCUUGAAAGAUGGCUUCGGCUAUCACUUUUGGAUGGUCCCGCGGCGUAUUAGCUAGAUGGUGGGGUAACGGCUCACCAUGGCAAUGAUACGUAGCCGACCUGAGAGGGUAAUCGGCCACAUUGGGACUGAGACACGGCCCAAACUCCUACGGGAGGCAGCAGUAGGGAAUCUUCCACAAUGGACGAAAGUCUGAUGGAGCAACGCCGCGUGAGUGAAGAAGGGUUUCGGCUCGUAAAACUCUGUUGUUAAAGAAGAACAUAUCUGAGAGUAACUGUUCAGGUAUUGACGGUAUUUAACCAGAAAGCCACGGCUAACUACGUGCCAGCAGCCGCGGUAAUACGUAGGUGGCAAGCGUUGUCCGGAUUUAUUGGGCGUAAAGCGAGCGCAGGCGGUUUUUUAAGUCUGAUGUGAAAGCCUUCGGCUCAACCGAAGAAGUGCAUCGGAAACUGGGAAACUUGAGUGCAGAAGAGGACAGUGGAACUCCAUGUGUAGCGGUGAAAUGCGUAGAUAUAUGGAAGAACACCAGUGGCGAAGGCGGCUGUCUGGUCUGUAACUGACGCUGAGGCUCGAAAGUAUGGGUAGCAAACAGGAUUAGAUACCCUGGUAGUCCAUACCGUAAACGAUGAAUGCUAAGUGUUGGAGGGUUUCCGCCCUUCAGUGCUGCAGCUAACGCAUUAAGCAUUCCGCCUGGGGAGUACGGCCGCAAGGCUGAAACUCAAAGGAAUUGACGGGGGCCCGCACAAGCGGUGGAGCAUGUGGUUUAAUUCGAAGCUACGCGAAGAACCUUACCAGGUCUUGACAUACUAUGCAAAUCUAAGAGAUUAGACGUUCCCUUCGGGGACAUGGAUACAGGUGGUGCAUGGUUGUCGUCAGCUCGUGUCGUGAGAUGUUGGGUUAAGUCCCGCAACGAGCGCAACCCUUAUUAUCAGUUGCCAGCAUUAAGUUGGGCACUCUGGUGAGACUGCCGGUGACAAACCGGAGGAAGGUGGGGAUGACGUCAAAUCAUCAUAGCCCCUUAUGACCUGGGCUACACACGUGCUACAAUGGAUGGUACAACGAGUUGCGAACUCGCGAGAGUAAGCUAAUCUCUUAAAGCCAUUCUCAGUUCGGAUUGUAGGCUGCAACUCGCCUACAUGAAGUCGGAAUCGCUAGUAAUCGCGGAUCAGCAUGCCGCGGUGAAUACGUUCCCGGGCCUUGUACACACCGCCCGUCACACCAUGAGAGUUUGUAACACCCAAAGUCGGUGGGGUAACCUUUUAGGAACCAGCCGCCUAAGGUGGGACAGAUGAUUAGGGUG
rnacentral:rRNA from 2 species